rnacentral:rRNA from 1 species
GACGAACGCUGGCGGCGUGCUUAACACAUGCAAGUCGAACGGAAAGGCCCUGCUUUUGUGGGGUGCUCGAGUGGCGAACGGGUGAGUAACACGUGAGUAACCUGCUCUUGACUUUGGGAUAACUUCAGGAAACUGGGGCUAAUACCGGAUAGGAGCUCCUGCUGCAUGGUGGGGGUUGGAAAGUUUCGGCGGUUGGGGAUGGACUCGCGGCUUAUCAGCUUGUUGGUGGGGUAGUGGCUUACCAAGGCUUUGACGGGUAGCCGGCCUGAGAGGGUGACCGGCCUCAUUGGGACUGCGAUACGGCCCAGACGCCUACAGUAGGCAGCAGUGGGAAAUAUUGCCCAAUGGGCGGAAGCCUGAUGCAGCAACGCCGCGUGCGGGAUGACGGCCUUCGGGUUGUAAACCGCUUUCGCCUGUGACGAAGCGUGAGUGACGGUAAUGGGUAAAGAAGCACCGGCUAACUACGUG